rnacentral:rRNA from 1 species
ACGCUGGCGGCAGGCUUAACACAUGCAAGUCGAACGGUAACAGGGAUUAGCUUGCUAAUCUGCUGACGAGUGGCGGACGGGUGAGUAAUGCUUGGGAAUCUGGCUUAUGGAGGGGGAUAACUACGGGAAACUGUAGCUAAUACCGCGUAAAAUCUUCGGAUUAAAGGGUGGGACUUUCGAGCCACCUGCCAUAAGAUGAGCCCAAGUGGGAUUAGGUAGUUGGUUAGGUAAAGGCUGACCAAGCCGACGAUCUCUAGCUGGUCUGAGAGGAUGACCAGCCACACUGGAACUGAGACACGGUCCAGACUCCUACGGGAGGCAGCAGUGGGGAAUAUUGCACAAUGGGGGGAACCCUGAUGCAGCCAUGCCGCGUGAAUGAAGAAGGCCUUCGGGUUGUAAAGUUCUUUCGGUGACGAGGAAGGUUGAUAGGUUAAUAGCCUAUCAAAUUGACGUUAAUCACAGGAGAAGCACCGGCUAACUCCGUGCCAGCAGCCGCGGUAAUACGGGGGGUGCGAGCGUUAAUCGGAAUAACUGGGCGUAAAGGGCACGCAGGCGGUGACUUAAGUGAGAUGUGAAAGCCCCGAGCUUAACUUGGGAAUUGCAUUUCGUACUGGGUCGCUAGAGUACUUUAGGGAGGGGUAGAAUUCCACGUGUAGCGGUGAAAUGCGUAGAGAUGUGGAGGAAUACCGAAGGCGAAGGCAGCCCCUUGGGAAUGUACUGACGCUCAUGUGCGAAAGCGUGGGGAGCAAACAGGAUUAGAUACCCUGGUAGUCCACGCUGUAAACGAUGUCGAUUUGGGGAUUGGGCUUUGAGCUUGGUGCCCGUAGCUAACGUGAUAAAUCGACCGCCUGGGGAGUACGGCCGCAAGGUUAAAACUCAAAUGAAUUGACGGGGGCCCGCACAAGCGG